rnacentral:rRNA from 1 species
AUCUACAGCCAUGCUAACCUGAACAAGCCAAUUCUCGUCUGAUCUCGGAAGCUAAGCAGGGUUGGGCCUGGUUAGUACUUGAAUGGGAGACCACCUAGGAAGAACAGGUGCUGUAGGCA